rnacentral:rRNA from 1 species
UAGGGAAUCUUCGGCAAUGGGGGGAACCCUGACCGAGCAACGCCGCGUGAGUGAAGAAGGUUUUCGGAUCGUAAAGCUCUGUUGUUAAGGAAGAACGAGUGUGAGAAUGGAAAGUUCAUGCUGUGACGGUACUUAACCAGAAAGGGACGGCUAACUACGUGCCAGCAGCCGCGGUAAUACGUAGGUCCCGAGCGUUGUCCGGAUUUAUUGGGCGUAAAGCGAGCGCAGGCGGUUAGAUAAGUCUGAAGUUAAAGGCGGUGGCUCAACCAUUGUGGGCGUUGGAAACUGUUUAACUUGAGUGCAGAAGGGGAGAGUGGAAUUCCAUGUGUAGCGGUGAAAUGCGUAGAUAUAUGGAGGAACACCGGUGGCGAAAGCGGCUCUCUGGUCUGUAACUGACGCUGAGGCUCGAAAGCGUGGGGAGCGAACAGG